rnacentral:rRNA from 1 species
UACGAAGGGGGCUAGCGUUGCUCGGAAUCACUGGGCGUAAAGCGCACGUAGGCGGAUCUUUAAGUCAGGGGUGAAAUCCUGGAGCUCAACUCCAGAACUGCCUUUGAUACUGGGGAUCUCGAGUCCGGAAGAGGUGAGUGGAACUCCGAGUGUAGAGGUGAAACUCGUAGAUAUUCGGAAGAACACCAGUGGCGAAGGCGGCUCACUGGUCCGGUACUGACGCUGAGGUGCGAAAGCGUGGGGAGCAAACAGG